GACGAACGCUGGCGGCGUGCCUAAUACAUGCAAGUCGAACGCACUCUCGUUUAGAUUGUCGGAGUUUGCUCCUGAUUGAUAAACAUUUGAGUGAGUGGCGGACGGGUGAGUAACACGUGGGUAACCUGCCCUAAAGUGGGGGAUAACAUUUGGAAACAGAUGCUAAUACCGCAUAAAACCUAACACCGCAUGGUGUAGGGUUGAAAGAUGGUUUCGGCUAUCACUUUAGGAUGGACCCGCGGUGCAUUAGUUAGUUGGUGGGGUAAAGGCUCACCAAGACCGUGAUGCAUAGCCGACCUGAGAGGGUGAUCGGCCACACUGGGACUGAGACACGGCCCAGACUCCUACGGGAGGCAGCAGUAGGGAAUCUUCCACAAUGGACGAAAGUCUGAUGGAGCAACGCCGCGUGAGUGAAGAAGGUGUUCGGAUCGUAAAACUCUGUUGUUGGGGAAGAAUGUAUCUGAUAGUAACUGAUCAGGUAGUGACGGUAUCCAACCAGAAAGCCACGGCUAACUACGUG
rnacentral:rRNA from 1 species